GAUGAACGCUAGCGGCAGGCUUAAUACAUGCAAGUCGAACGGUAAGUUUGGUAGCAAUAUCAAACCAAGAGUGACGUACGGGUGCGUAACACGUAUGCAACCUACCUUGUACAGGAGUAUAGCUCGGGGAAACUCGAAUUAACCCUCCAUGAGAUCAUAGAAUGGCAUCAUUUAGUGAUUAAAACUCAGGUGGUACAAGAUGGGCAUGCGUCUGAUUAGAGUUGGCGGGGUAAUGGCCCACCAAGACGAUGAUCAGUAGGGGACCUGAGAGGUGAUCCCCCACACUGGCACUGAGAUACGGGCCAGACUCCUACGGGAGGCAGCAGUAGGGAAUAUUGGUCAAUGGGUGAGAGCCUGAACCAGCCAUGCCGCGUGCAGGAA
rnacentral:rRNA from 1 species